rnacentral:rRNA from 1 species
GACGUAGGGCGCAAGCGUUAUCCGGAAUUAUUGGGCGUAAAGAGCUCGUAGGCGGUUUGUCGCGUCUGCCGUGAAAGUCCGGGGCUCAACUCCGGAUCUGCGGUGGGUACGGGCAGACUAGAGUGUUGCAGGGGAGACUGGAAUUCCUGGUGUAGCGGUGAAAUGCGCAGAUAUCAGGAGGAACACCGGUGGCGAAGGCGGGUCUCUGGGCAACAACUGACGCUGAGGAGCGAAAGCGUGGGGAGCAAACAGG